rnacentral:rRNA from 1 species
AACGAACGCUGGCGGCACGCUUAACACAUGCAAGUCGAACGGAGUUAACAGCUUGCUGUUAACUUAGUGGCAAACGGGUGAGUACAACACAGGUAUUUACCUUGGAGUGGGGGAUAGCCAUUGGAAACGAUGGGUAAUACCGCAUAUUCUCUAACGAGGAAAGAUUUAUCGCUCCAAGAGAAUCUUGUGCCGGAUUAGGUAGUUGGUGGGGUAAAGGCCUACCGAGCCUGUGAUCCGUAGCUGGUCUGAGAGGAUGAUCAGCCACACUGGAAUUGAGAUACGGUCCAG